AAAAUAUGUAAAAUCUACUCAAAAAAUACCUGUUUUUUUAAAUUAUAUAUUUUAAAUCAAAGCUGUAGAGGAUUCAAGGCUGAUAAAGAAAAACUGUAGAUCCCUGCCCAGCCCCUCGCCUGAUUUCGACUCUCCAGGAACAACAGUUUUCAGCAAUUUUAGUGUUUGUCCCACUUUCCUGCCUCCCAGAGAACCAGGCCUCCCGCCCAGAGAAUCACUUCCCACUUGAGAAGCUCUGAAAGAAGAUCCCAGGACAAGCAAGUGUGCGGCACCCACCUGACCGUUUUCCUGGGACCGUUUUCCAUCCCUCUUCCAGGUCAGGUGGACGACAAGAGCAUCCAAAGGUGAGGAAGCAGUGGGACAGGAGAAGGUCAAGGCCAACCCCGUGCAGCCGUGCGCCCAGCUCUGGGCCUCAAUGCCAAGGCUGUUACCCUGUGAGAAGCAGACUUCUGCCUCGCUGAAGCCGCUGGGAGGCUCAGCACCAGGUGGUGAGCUGAUACACCAGUAGGUGAGGGAGUAGGCUUUUACUCUAAUAGUUACUUAUUCACUUUAGUGGGAUUUAGGGGGAAAUUUCAGUUUGCCCUUUAAACCGGUGAUUCCAUUAAGAUGGGGGAUGCAGUUAAAGUAAGUGGCACCCAAAUGAAUGGAUUUAUUUAAGAAAGCCCGGAAUCCAUCUGACUGAAAGGUAAAUAUUAAAUAAGAUAAUA
rnacentral:lncRNA from 1 species